rnacentral:lncRNA from 1 species
UGAUAACCGCUGGAUUUCUUAACCCCGGACCAGGGUCUCGACCAUAGCCAAAAGCCCAUCAAGCAGAGGCCCAUACACACGUGAGACAAGCCUAACCCGUAUGCCUUCAAAGGCCGGGCUCACCCCUCUCCUCCAUUCAGGCCGGCCCAACCCGCGCCAAGCGAGCCCUCUCCUCUUGGGCUCAGCAUCUGGUCCGACUCUCAGCCCAGCCCUGUAACGACCCGGAAACCGGACGGUAGGAAUUCCGAUACCGGAGUCUAGCCGGGUAUUACAUUCUUCCCCCCUUAAGAACAUUCGUCCCCGAAUGUUCACCAAACAACACAUAACAUGGCAAACAUAUAACAUACAUACUAAGCACAUCAACACAUAGGGAUCUAACCUUAAAAGAGCUGAGGGUACUGCUGGAGCAUANNN